UUUUGAAAAAAAAAACUGCUUUUCGUUGUGUUUGGCAAUAGAUAGAAUUCACACUGUGUACACUGAUCAGUGGUUCUGCUUUUGCCAACUACAGCGUGUAAGCGCGUUGUCAACGUGUUCC
rnacentral:pre_miRNA from 14 species